rnacentral:lncRNA from 1 species
GACGAUCUCGAGCCCCGGGGACCUACCACACUCGGUCCUCGAUGAGAUGUGUUGUUUGUGGGUGUCCUCAUUACCCACAACAGUGUGAGCAGCGAGAGGGCAAGUUCUACAGGUGUGGGCAACCGGGCCGUGCGCCAAACGAGUGUCCGCAAGGCGGUAGCCGAGCCCUAAUACUAGCGAUGGUCUUUUCCUCUCCGGGACAGCCUGCAGGUGUGCCACCUGCGGCGUGGUCGGAAGAGCGGGCGUUAAGGACGAUGCAACCGGAGGGUUUGCGGUGGGCGCCAAGUGGCUAUGGAUACGCGACCCGAGUUGUGGAGCCUGCUGCUACCGACGACAUCAUGGCAGGUAUGAUUUUGUUGAAGCAAGUGACCAAUGAUAUAGAAUGGCAAGAGGUAUAAAUGGUGGACAUGAUCUAUGGAUA